rnacentral:rRNA from 1 species
AGAGUUUGAUCCUGGCUCAGAAUAAACGCUGGUGGUAUGCAUAACACAUGCAAGUCGAACGAGAAAGUUUCUUCGGAAAUGAGUAGAGUGGCGCACGGGUGAGUAACACGUAGAUAACCUGCCUUUCAGUCUGAAACAACCAUUCAAAAGGAUGGCUAAUGUCGGAUAAAACCAAACGUUGAAUGACGAUUGGUUGAAAGAUUUUAUCGCUGAUAGAUGGGACUGCGCACCAUUAGCUAGUUGGUAGGAUAAAAGCCUACCAAGGCGACGAUGGUUAGCGGGUUUGAGAGGAUGAUCCGCCACACUGGAACUGAAACACGGUCCAGACUCCUACGGGAGGCAGCAGUGAGGAAUUUUGCGCAAUGAGGGAAACCUUGACGCAGCAAUGCCGCGUGAGUGAAGAAGGCCUUUGGGUCGUAAAGCUCUUUUCUUGGGAAAGAUAUUGACGGUACCUGAGGAAUAAGUGCCGGCUAACUCCGUGCCAGCAGCCGCGGUAAUACGGAGGGCGCAAGCGUUGUUCGGAUUUACUGGGCGUAAAGAGCGCGUAGGCAGCUUGACAAGCUAAGAGUGAAAUCCCAGAGCUUAACUUUGGAAUUGUUCUUAGAACUGUCUAGCUAGAGAUAGUCAGAGGCGGGUGGAAUUCCUAGUGAAGAGGUGAAAUUCGUAGAUAUUAGGAGGAACACCGGUGGCGAAGGCGUCCCGCUGGGACUAUUCUGACGCUAAAGCGCGAAAGCGUGGGGAGCAAACGGGAUUAGAUACCCCGGUAGUCCACGCCGUAAACGAUGAGUACCAGUUGUGUGAAACUUGCGUUUCAUGUGACGUAGCUAACGCGAUGAGUAUUCCGCCUGGGGAGUACGGUCGCAAGACUAAAACUCAAAGGAAUUGACGGGGGCCCGCACAAGCGGUGGAGCAUGUGGUUUAAUUCGACGCAACGCGAAGAACCUUACCUGGGUUUGACAUCUUUGGACCGUCAUAGAAAUAUGAGUUUCUCUUCGGAGACCAAGGAACAGGUGCUGCAUGGCUGUCGUCAGCUCGUGUCGUGAGAUGUUGGGUUAAGUCCCGCAACGAGCGCAACCCUUGUUCUUAGUUGCCAGCGAGUAAUGUCGGGGACUCUAAGGAGACUGCCGGUGUUAAGCCGGAGGAAGGUGGGGAUGACGUCAAGUCCUCAUGGCCUUUAUAUCCAGGGCUACACACGUGCUACAAUGGCAAUGACAAAGAGCGGCGAUACCGUAAGGUAAAGCGAAUCUCAAAAAAAUUGUCUCAGUUCGGAUCGCAGUCUGUAACUUGACUGCGUGAAGUUGGAAUCGCUAGUAAUCGUAGAUCAGCGUGCUACGGUGAAUACGUUCCCGGGCCUUGUACACACCGCCCGUCACACCAUGGGAGUUGAUAUUAGCAGAAUACAUUGAGCCAACCUUCGGGAGGUAGGUGUGCAAGCUAGUGUUGACGACUGGGGUGAAGUCGUAACAAGGUA